AUUGAACGCUGGCGGCAUGAUUUACACAUGCAAGUCGAACGGUAACAGGCCGCAAGGUGCUGACGAGUGGCGAACGGGUGAGUAAUACAUCGGAACGUGCCCAGUCGUGGGGGAUAACUACUCGAAAGAGUAGCUAAUACCGCAUACGAUCUAUGGAUGAAAGCGGGGGACCGUAAGGCCUCGCGCGAUUGGAGCGGCCGAUGUCAGAUUAGGUAGUUGGUGGGGUAAAGGCUCACCAAGCCAACGAUCUGUAGCUGGUCUGAGAGGACGACCAGCCACACUGGGACUGAGACACGGCCCAGACUCCUACGGGAGGCAGCAGUGGGGAAUUUUGGACAAUGGGCGCAAGCCUGAUCCAGCAAUGCCGCGUGCAGGAAGAAGGCCUUCGGGUUGUAAACUGCUUUUGUACGGAACGAAACGGCUCUGGUUAAUACCCGGGGCUAAUGACGGUACCGUAAGAAUAAGCACCGGCUAACUACGUG
rnacentral:rRNA from 1 species